rnacentral:misc_RNA from 1 species
UGGUUCUGGCAUCGAUGAAGAACGCAGCGAAAUGCGAUAAUUAAUGUGAAUUGCAGAAUUUAGUGAAUCAUCGAAUCUUUGAACGCACAUUGCGCCCCCUGGUAUUCCGGGGGGCAUGCCUGUUCUAGCGUCAUUUCAACCCUCAAGCCCUGCUUGGUUUUGGGCCGCGCCGGCAACGGCGGGCCUCAAAAGUAGUGGCGGCGCCGCUCGGUGUCCUCAGCGUAGUAACUCAUCUCGCUGCUGGGCCCUGGCGGCCGCCGGCCAGCAACCCCAAUAUUCUAUGGUUGACCUCGGAUCAGGUAGGGAUACCCGCUGA